AUUGAACGCUGGCGGAAUGCUUUACACAUGCAAGUCGAGCGGCAGCGCGGGGCAACCUGGCGGCGAGCGGCGAACGGGUGAGUAAUGUAUCGGAACGUACCCAGUCGUGGGGGAUAACUAUCCGAAAGGAUAGCUAAUACCGCAUACGUCCUGAGGGAGAAAGCGGGGGAUCGCAAGACCUCGCGCGAUUGGAGCGGCUGAUAUCGGAUUAGCUAGUUGGUGAGGUAAAGGCUCACCAAGGCGACGAUCCGUAGCUGGUCUGAGAGGACGACCAGCCACACUGGAACUGAGACACGGUCCAGACUCCUACGGGAGGCAGCAGUGGGGAAUUUUGGACAAUGGGCGCAAGCCUGAUCCAGCCAUGCCGCGUGAGUGAAGAAGGCCUCGGUGUAAG
rnacentral:rRNA from 1 species